rnacentral:rRNA from 1 species
UGCAGUCGAGCGCACCUUCGGGUGAGCGGCGGACGGGUUAGUAACGCGUGGGAACAUACCCUUUGGUACGGAAUAGCCUCUGGAAACGGAGAGUAAUACCGUAUGAGCCCUUCGGGGGAAAGAUUUAUCGCCAAAGGAUUGGCCCGCGUUAGAUUAGGUAGUUGGUGGGGUAAUGGCCUACCAAGCCUACGAUCUAUAGCUGGUUUUAGAGGAUGAUCAGCAACACUGGGACUGAGACACGGCCCAGACUCCUACGGGAGGCAGCAGUGGGGAAUCUUGGACAAUGGGGGCAACCCUGAUCCAGCCAUGCCGCGUGAGUGAUGAAGGCCUUAGGGUCGUAAAGCUCUUUCGCCUGUGAAGAUAAUGACGGUAGCAGGUAAAGAAACCCCGGCUAACUCCGUGCCAGCAGCCGCGGUAAUACGGAGGGGGUUAGCGUUGUUCGGAAUUACUGGGCGUAAAGCGCACGUAGGCGGACUGGAAAGUUGGGGGUGAAAUCCCAGGGCUCAACCCUGGAACUGCCUCCAAAACUAUCAGUCUAGAGUUCGAGAGAGGUGAGUGGAAUUCCGAGUGUAGAGGUGAAAUUCGUAGAUAUUCGGAGGAACACCAGUGGCGAAGGCGGCUCACUGGCUCGAUACUGACGCUGAGGUGCGAAAGUGUGGGGAGCAAACAGGAUUAGAUACCCUGGUAGUCCACACCGUAAACGAUGAAUGCCAGUCGUCGGGUAGCAUGCUAUUCGGUGACACACCUAACGGAUUAAGCAUUCCGCCUGGGGAGUACGGUCGCAAGAUUAAAACUCAAAGGAAUUGA